UGAAAAUAUCAAUGUAUUUAUUAUGAAUAUACAAGAGUGUGGGAUACCACUGUUACUGAUUGAAAAACACACCAUUCCUAUCAAUUUUACAAUAAAGAACACAUCUAUGGAGAAUAUUACACCAUAGCAUUUACAUCAAUUCAACCAAAGAAAAAGAUCUUCUAAAUGCUAUUACAUUUUUCUAUAUAUCAAUGUAAACUACAGUUAUUUGCUUUUUCAUCCAACCAAAGAAUUCAGUUGCAACUCAAUUAUGCUUCUUCUGAAUCUGCAAGAAAUAAAUGGACCUUAUGAUUAUGUGAUUAAAUUUAUACAAAUAUAAUUUUGUAAUAUGGAAGAAAAGACUCCAACUUACAAAAGCUGAAGGUCAGGCAAUUAAGUAUCCUGAAGUAAAAGUGUCAUCAAUUCUCUUGCAAUCAGAAACUUACCUUACCAACUCAUUAUCCAGAAUUGAUUCAUCUCUGCACACAAGUGAAAAUUCAGCACCUAACUAAAUAUCACAAACCAUAGUUUCUAGACCAGUACUUCGAAUAGUAGCAGAUGCAACAUUCCGCUGGUUUGGAUAUGUAGUCUUUAAAACUACUUUGGAUGCAACCUAUAUUAUGAUCAAUAUUAUUCAACGACAAUGAUAACAGAAUUUGCAUGAACAAUAUUUCAAUGGAUAUGCAUGACCAUUCACUUACUUAGGGAUACACAUUCAGGCUGCAAGUGGGACUAAUAGAGGAAUGCCCACACCAGCACACAUGUGUUAUGCGGGUGUUUGUGGGCAGCCCACAAUCAACCAUGUUGUGUCUGCUUGCCCAGAUAAUCCCAUUUAAUCCCACAUAGUAGUAAACUACUGCGCUAUUGUAUUAAGAGUUUCGACAGUCACCGAGUGGAUGAUGUGUGGUAAGCAACCACGCAAAAAAGAGUUGAGACAGUUCUACUUAGCUCUUGUACAAAUGAAGACUAACUUGUUGUAUCUGGACAUUAGUUGAACACAGCAGCACAAACACCUAUCAAUCAGGUCAGUACAUGAGCAAGCACAUGCAAAGUGGCCCCCAGUGCAAAGGCAUCAUCAUACUAUUGAGAAAUCAAGAGUAGAGCAUCUGUGUUUUGCUUGUGUUGUGUUGUAUGUGGGUGCUUGUUGUUGUGUUGGGCAUGUGUGUGUGUGUGUGUGUGUGUGCUUUCUAGUACCUAACCAAUGUACCCGCAAGAUGUUUUAUAACAGUACACAUUCCAUGGCAAAGUUAUAAAGAAUAUAAACACUCCUUAUGAAUUGUCAAGGAGCGCGACCAUAUGACUGCAUAAACAUAUACCUGGAAACCAGAAUCCAUGAUUACCGUGGCUUUAAUCAGCAUGGAAUUGAUAUGCAUAAGCCCUUGAGGCAUCGACACUAACCGAGCUUCUCGCAAACAUUCUGUAAGAGUAGAAUGAUAAAUAACUUGAGAAGGAAACAGAU
rnacentral:lncRNA from 1 species